AUACGGAGGGUGCAAGCGUUAUUCGGAAUCACUGGGCGUAAAGGACGCGUAGGCGGGUUGGCAAGUCAGAUGUGAAAUCCUACAGCUUAACUGUAGAACUGCAUUUGAAACUGCUAACCUAGAGUAUGGGAGGGGGAGAUGGAAUUAGUGGUGUAGGGGUAAAAUCCGUAGAUAUCAAUAGGAAUACCGAAAGCGAAGGCGAUCUCCUGGAACAUAACUGACGCUAAGGCGUGAAAGCGUGGGGAGCAAACAGGAUUAGAUACCCUAGUAGUCC
rnacentral:rRNA from 1 species